rnacentral:rRNA from 1 species
GCGGUGGAGCAUGUGGUUAAUUCGACGCAACGCGAAGACCUUACAGGCUUGACAUCCCCUGACCGCGUAUGAAAGUACGUUUUCACCCUCGGGUGACAGGGAGACAGGUGGUGCAUGGUUGUCGUCAGCUCGUGUCGUGAGAUGUUGGGUUAAGUCCCGCAACGAGCGCAACCCCUACGUUUAGUUGCUAACAGGUGAAGCUGAGCACUCUAGACGAACUGCCGUUGACAAAACGGAGGAAGGUGGGAUGACGUCAAAUCAUCAUGCCCCUUAUGUUCUGGGCUACACACGUGCUACAAUGGCCGGUACAGACGGAGGCGAAGCCGCGAGGCGGAGCAAAUCCGAAAAAGCCGGUCUCAGUUCGGAUUGCAGGCUGCAAUUCGCCUGCAUGAAGUCGGAAUCGCUAGUAAUCGCAGGUCAGCAUACUGCGGUGAAUACGUUCCCGGGCCUU